rnacentral:tRNA from 1 species
GCCUCCGUAGCUCAGUGGAUAGAGCAUCCCUCUCCUAAAGGGUGCGCGCGAGUUCGAUUCUCGCCGGGGGCACUA